GACGUAGGGCGCGAGCGUUGUCCGGAUUUAUUGGGCGUAAAGAGCUCGUAGGCGGCUUGUCGCGUCGGCUGUGAAAACCCGCGGCUCAACUGUGGGCGGGCAGCUGAUACGGGCAGGCUGGAGUUCGGUAGGGGAGACUGGAAUUCCUGGUGUAGCGGUGAAAUGCGCAGAUAUCAGGAGGAACACCGGUGGCGAAGGCGGGUCUCUGGACAGUUCCUGGCGCUGAGGCACGAAGGUCAGGGGAGCAAACGGG
rnacentral:rRNA from 1 species